rnacentral:rRNA from 1 species
UACGAAGGGGGCUAGCGUUGCUCGGAAUCACUGGGCGUAAAGCGCACGUAGGCGGGUCGUUAAGUCGGGGGUGAAAUCCUGGAGCUCAACUCCAGAACUGCCUUCGAUACUGGCGAUCUUGAGUCUGGGAGAGGUGAGUGGAACUCCGAGUGUAGAGGUGAAAUUCGUAGAUAUUCGGCGGAACACCAGUGGCGAAGGCGACUCACUGGCCCGAUACUGACACUGAGGAGCGAAAGCCAGGGGAGCAAACGGG